CACACUCAAGGAGGCACCAGUUUCUAGCUGCACAGGUUUUAUAUUGUCAUAGUCUUAGCAAUUGAAUACAUAGAAAUGAUCUAUGACUAUAAUUUGUUUUUAGGAUUAAUAAUGAUUAUCUGAUUAACUAUGGCCACGGAAGAUUGAAGCUCAAGUAUUGAAUUGUUUUGCAUUGUU